rnacentral:rRNA from 1 species
GACGAACGCUGGCGGCGUGCUUAACACAUGCAAGUCGAACGGAAAGGCCCUGCUUUUGUGGGGUGCUCGAGUGGCGAACGGGUGAGUAACACGUGAGUAACCUGCCCUUGACUUUGGGAUAACUUCAGGAAACUGGGGCUAAUACCGGAUAGGAGCUCCUGCUGCAUGGUGGGGGUUGGAAAGUUUCGGCGGUUGGGGAUGGACUCGCGGCUUAUCAGCUUGUUGGUGGGGUAGUGGCUUACCAAGGCUUUGACGGGUAGCCGGCCUGAGAGGGUGACCGGACACAUUGGGACGGAGAUACGGCCCAGACUCCUACGGGAGGCAGCAGUGGGGAAUAUUGCACAAUGGGCGGAAGCCUGAUGCAGCAACGCCGCGUGCGGGAUGACGGCCUUCGGGUUGUAAACCGCUUUCGCCUGUGACGAAGCGUGAGUGACGGUAAUGGGUAAAGAAGCACCGGCUAACUACGUG